UCCCUCUCUUUUCUGUUCUUUUCUACUUCCGUUCUCCUUGAUGAAAGCAGUUCUUUUCCAUAAAAAAAGUACUUGCAUGAUUGACUGCAAGGUCGGUGGUUCUGUGCUUUCUGAGAUAAUUGUGAAGAAUGACUUCUAUCAUGUAGCUUCUAUAAUUUCUUCCAUCAUUCAAUAGCCAUAUUUUCUUUUUAUAUCGCUAAAUCAUGUAACUUAUAAUGGAGUUUAUAUGAAUAAAUCUGGGGACCAGAAUGCAUAAUAUUGUCUUUAUCCUUCAGAAUAUGUCAUAUGGGCACUCUUUUGUAGGUUAAACGUCUGACUGAAAGUAUCCCAAUUAUAUUGGAUGCAUUGCAAUCAUCUUCACUUGUGGAAGUAAAGGGAGAGACGGUAAGGCGGCGUAAUGAUUAUGACAGAUGGAUUAUUCGACCUGGUGAAAUUCCUGAUGUUGCAGGCCCAUUAAGCCCAGGAAGUUCCAAUCAGGAUAUGUUGGCAGCUGGUGUUCAAACUAUUGCGCUAGAGAAUAUUAAUCAUAGGGUAUCUGAAGGUGGACAGGGUGCUGUUCAUGUUGAGGCACACCAAAGUAGUAGGCCAUCUGGAAA